CUGUUUUUCUGGACAAACUUAAAAAUGCUGAAUCUUUGUAGUCAUUUAAGAAAUAAUUAAUGCCAUAUCUCAAGGUACGCAAAGCUCAGAAGCGGUCUGGGUGAGCAUGGGUGUAGGAGACUGCUUGGCCCUGUUGUGGGCACCCUUGCCAUUGUCCUUAGCCCAUCAGAGACAGGCACUCCUAUUUCGUGUCAGAGGUUCUGCUUCAUUAGUGAUCACAAAGCAAAUGAUGAUGACACAAUCAGAAGUGUCAGAUGACAGGCACUUAUGCAGCCACCCUUCCACGAAUGAUUCCCUAUUUUCUUCUUGUUGUCUGAUCUCCUACUGGAUGAAGUCUAUAACUUCCUGGCUCCUCAUACAUCCCAAAUACCAUCACAGAAAUCAAAAGAACUUAUAUGAGUUUGUUUGACCCUGGGCUUUCUCUCAGGCAACAAGGGCACAUAAAGUCUUAAGUACUAUAAGGCCUCUCCAAAGAUGAAGCUAAGACUCCAGCUGCAGUAUCUCAAAUAGGCUCUUUAGCUUGUCAUUUAUGAAGGUUUGUCGUCUUUACUUUGAACCAUUUUGCUUUUCUUGAAAACUGUGUGUGUGGUGUGUGUAAUGUUAUUAAAAAGAAAAUUAAUGGAGAGGUGAAAUGGUU
ensembl:lincRNA